rnacentral:lncRNA from 1 species
CGUGCCCUCGGCACAAUCUGUGACCAAAACAAGAAUCUGGGUCCACCGCUAACCCGAACGGCACCCAACGACCCGAAACAGCCUACACUUUGCUGAAAAAUAAGCUCGGCAUCUCAGCACGAGCGUAAAUGCCUUCUAAACUACCCCAGGUAUCCAUCGCAACGAUACUGCAACGAUACAAUCGAAUCACGGCUCCUAGAGCUAAAUCUGGUAGUUUAAGCAUAUGACGGGUCAAAACGCAGGUUUUCUCCUAAGUCAAAUUUCAAGUCCAACAUGUAUAAUAUAAAUAUUCAUUUCAGCAUGCUUUUAUAUUCAUAUUACGUCCAAAAUGCUAAUCGAUGAAUUAAAGCAUGAUAUACCGAAAUCGAACUAUACACGUCGACUAAACAUGCACUUAGGAGCGAAACCGAUGAUACACCCACCUCUAGUGCAAUUCCUGGCAGCAAGAUGGUCUCGGAUCACAAACAACGCUGCUGGAAACACCUCCAAACCAGCAACAAAGCCCCUCAAGAUCUGGAUUUACAAUUCACCCAAAAAUCCAAUAAAAAUCAUCAAUUUCAGCCUUAAGCUUGGAUUUAUCCAA